UGUGCAAUCUGGUUCUGUUGCUUCGGGCCUCAGAGGCUCUGGGCCUCAUAUGUAAUGGGAGUAAUACAAGUAUAGUGGUAGUGGAUUGUGUGCAUGCCGCUGUGCAUGGAGAUUAAGUGAAAUGUAAUUAAGUAAAGGCAUUCUCUCACUAAUAUAGAGGUAAUGAUGCAAAAGUUGUAAUUUGAAUACCAAUUAUAAUACAUAUAUUUGUCAUUCUUUCAUGGAACCACAGUCAUCUUAGAGUUGAGAAAAAAGAACAAUGAUCUUUCAUCAAAAACACAAAGGGAAAUUUACUCAGCUUUUAAAAGGCAAAUGCAUUAAAGUUUUUUUUUUUUGCUUUAAUUUUGAAAGUCAAAGCUCCCUGCAUUUAAGGACUAGUAAAGGAGAUCUGAAGUUGUUUGGAGGGCUCUGGAGGAUUCUAAAACAGAGACUUUACUAUGAGAACCAAGGGAUAUAGAAUGAUCAACCUGACAAUAUAACAGGUGUGCAUUUCAUGCAGAGCUGCUCCCCUUCCACCUCCCCAAACUCCUGACCAUACUUUGCAGAUACCAUAUUUUUAAUUGCCAAGGAACUCUAUCCUAUUUUAUGUGAGCCACAUAAUUAAUAUAUAACAGCAGUGUAUUUGGGUGAGCAGAUAUGGUAUCUAACCUUGCAUAUACAUGGCAUUAUUGUCACUCUGGAACAGGAAUGGGAGUCAAGGACCUGCUGAACACAUCUGAACCGUCACGACUGGGGAGUUUCUAAGGGGAGGAAGUGGCUGCUUAUGACGUGAGAUCCAUCCCUGAAUGUCUAUAUAUUAUGAUCAUAGGACUGUAGACAGUCCCAGUGGGAGAGGCUAUAAAGAUUCACAAGUGUAACCCAUUCUUACAUAGAUUCAAAGGACAGAGAGAAGCCCUUGUGAGCAGCGCCUACCAUGCACGGCUGCUGUGCUGUUAGUCCAUUCAAUUCUGGAUACAAGUCUGUGACACAGCUGUCACUACCCCUUUUUACCAACUGAGAAACUGUGACAGGAAGGAGAAAGCCACUUGCUCAGAGCCUCACUUUUGACCUGGUAGAAAGCCAAGAUUCAAAGGGAACCAGAAACUGCUGUGAGUUUGAUGAAUCAUAAAAAUGUUAGAACAGUACUCUAGAUGUUACUGAGUGGAGAACGUAGCAUUUUGACACCUGAAACAGAUCACUUACACCCCCUCACCACCAAAUGUCAAAAUUAUUUUUAGUAGUAGAUAUGAAACAAAACACACAGGGAUGAGAAAAUGAGAAAAAAACAUACGGAAUAUAACAAUUUUAAAAAUUAAAUUUGGCAUAUAUUAUCUUACUAGUAAAAACUAAACAUGAACAUCAUAGUGUAAACAAAAAUAUGACAACUCUGAGUUUGCAGUCUGUUUCACUGUUUCACAUUUUAAAUUUAAAUGAUAAUUCCAAGUGAUCACAUAGAUGAAAUCAUACAUAGAACUGGGUCACAUGAGGAAUUGGAUUAACUCAAAUUUUGUGCCUUAGUCUUUGCAGUUACUGUGCUGUCAUGGCUUAUUUUUAACCUAGAGUUUAAAUACAUGGGUGGGAAACAUGAAGAGUACUCCAGGCAAGACUGGACAAGACCAUUAGUAAAUUAUACUUGAGUUUGGGUAUGUCGUAAACCAACUGCCUUAUGCAUAUGACCUCAAUUUAAUCCUAAACCCAAAGAGAUAAGUGUACUAUUAUUAUUACUCUCAUAUUAUUGAUGAGGUAGCCAAGGUACAGAGUUCAAAUGACCUGUCCAAGGUCAUAGGGCUAGUGAUUAGAUGGGAUUAAACUGUUGGGGUGGUCUCUAAAGUCAACCCUCUUAAUCCCUCUGCCUUAAUUCUCUCAUCUCAGUUUACAUGUCAACACACCCUGAGCUGCCCCCAGUACCACCCUCCUCCCAAAUCAGGAAGAGGAUACUUUGUUUCAAUGAUGAAAGCUCUCUAGGUAAGGUUUCUUGUUUGUUACUUUGUUUGCUUUCUUUUUUUACUUUUACUUAGAACCCAUGAAUAUAGUGUCUAAAAAAGAUUGCAAACAGGGAUUAGGGCAGAUGGGACAUUUCCCUUUCAGAGGAGUCUGCUCCUUAAUUAAUUAUGUAAUCAAGUAGCACUAAUUUAAGAUACACUAUCCCAGGAAUGUGUUAAAACCCUUGGGAGAAGGAGUGUGUCAAAAAACAUAGGACAAGAUAACUGUUUUAAGAUACUAUCUGGUUAGACACUGACAGAACUUCCCUUACUAUCUCAAUAAGACACAGAAAAAAGCAAAAACUCAUAAUAGUAUGAUAUCAGAUUGAUGGCUAAAUUUUGGCUAGAAAUUUGGAAACAAAUAAAUGUCCAACCCUAGGAACAGAUCCCUUCUGUUUCUUUUUGAGUGCACAGUUCCUUAAACUGUUGUUGUAAAAGAGGAGAGGGAUGAUUGCUGAUGGUGGUACAGGGCAUCCUCCCAGAAGAAUUGGAGACAGGGAGCACCAGGUUUAGGGCGUCUAGGGAGCCUUCACCUCUUGAGUUCUCUCUAUGUCUAGGCUACCCGUCUGAGCAUGGGGAUAGAAAGUGGCCCCACUCCAGCUUUCUUUUUACCACACCUGACCUGGGAACCAUGGGGUAUCAAUUUGCUUUUUAGAUGAUGGUGGUGAGAAGGUAAUUCCGUUAGCACCUAGGAGGUCAGAGGAAGUCAUCAAGGUCAACCUGCCUUCUUGUUGACUGAAACCAAUGGGAAUUUUGCAUAAGAUCUAGAAGCACACAGUCCAUAUUUUGAUUCUGCCACUUACCUUUUAAAGUCUUAGUUUUGUAAUAUGGAAGGAAUAAUAAUAGCAUUGUGAUCAUUCUUAUUUUCAAUAUGAGAAGACUAAUAAUAGCAUUGCCCUCAUUCGGGGUUAGGAAUACUAAAUGUGAGGGAAAUGGUUAUAAUACACAUCUAUAAUCCUUUAUCUGGAUCCUUUAGGUCCAGGUGUGGUUUUUGUUUGUUUGUUUGUUUGUUUUCUGUCUUUUUAGGGCUGCACCCCAGGUGUAUGGAGGUUCCCAGGCUAGGGGUUGAAUUGGAGCUGCAGCUGCCAGCCUACGCCACAGCCACAGCACUGCCAGAUCCAAGCCACAUCUGUGACCCACACCACAGCUUGCUGCAAUGCUGGAUCCUUUAACACACUGAAUGAGGCCAGAGAUCAAACCUACAUCCUCAUGGAUACUAGUUGAAUUCUUAACCUGCUGAGCCACAAUGGGAACUCUCCCAGGUGUGUUUUAUAAUUCAAAAUUUUAGGGGGAAUUUGUAAUAUUGUAAAAUACCCUCAACAGGGUCUAGGGAACACCCCAUAAUAAUAUACAUACUUUUUUUUUUCUGAAACAAAAUCUUUGAAUUGUUACUCUUAGUGGGAUAUGUAAAUACAACAAAUUGCUUCACGUAUAUUUAGGGUGGGUUUUGCUGCCAAAUGAGUUUGCCACAGACUUGCAAACAAAACAAGCCCUUUGUUUUUUCAAAACUUUUUGAGUUUCACCACUGUAGAUGAGGGAUUAUCGAUCAAAGAUAACAAUAUCAAAUACCAGGCAUCUCCCUUCUGUGCUGGUACUGGUGCUGCCUGAUGUGGCUACACCAGCCCCACUGUGCCUGUGGGUCCUGGCCUCCCUGACCCCCAGACCCAGGGACUGGGUGGAGCUCAGCCCAGGCUCAGUCCUGCUGUGGGCACAGUGUCUUCCCUCAGCAUAGCCCCUAAGCAGCCUAGGAGUUCAGACACUGAAGCCGUUGUGUUCCCACGACCUUCACUCAAGUGGGUCAAGUGUCAGGCCUGGUGCCCACUCAGCCGAGUACAUCUCUCUGCUAAGUCUCCGACCACUGUUUUAAGUAAUUAGUUAGCACCCAAAGUACAAGCUGACCUCCUGCUCUAGGGUCUUCAGUUAUACCACAGGCUGGGUAAAGCCCUCAUCCCUGAGCCAGCUUGCUAAUUCUCUGAAAUUUUCCAAGUCCUUCUUUCCUGUCUGUAGAAUUGCUACCCCAGAUCUGCCAAGUCCUCCUCUCAGUCUGCUUCCCUAAACUGAGACUGGUUCUCUGCUGCUGGACUUUACUUCCUGGACCAUCCUCUCCAGCAGAGUUCCUGAGCAGGAGCUCUUUAUUAUCUCCCAUGAACACUGGGAUCAGGGUGGGCUGGUCGGGUUCCUUGUGUCCUAUUCCUGCUCUCAGAUUUCUAUUUCCUUCAGCAUCAUGUAAGAAUCCCAGUGUCCAUCUUCUAUACCACCCUCCCCUCAUCACCAGCAUCUCCUGCUCUCAGUCUCUCCCACUUGCUCACUGAGCAUCCCAGGCUGAAUCAGAGUCCUUCCUAUCCCAAGCCCUUCCUUCAUCCCACCCCAGGAGAUCUCAUGAUUUCGUGGAUGAUAGUACCAGUAUCCUGACCUCUCAAUUGCUCCAUUUCCUUCCUCACUCCAUUUCAACUGUCCACUCUGUCAGUUCUAUUCAGUACCUGUCACCAUUCAAAAUACCCUGACUUCAAAAUAAAGUUGUUCAGCCAUCCUGCUUUCUUUCCACAACCUUGUGCCCUUCCAGUGUGUUUGUUAAAUUACUCUUAGUAAAUCAUUCGUUAAUCUCCUUGGGGACUCCAGUGAAUUGAUUCUUCAUUGUUUCUAAUCCAUCAUCCCCCUGUAUAUUUUUUCACUCCACUCCCUAUCAAGUUUAGACUGAAUAGUCCAUCAUUUUCAUGUCUCUCUUGCCAAUACCCUAAAUACCUUAUUUCUAUCUCUUGUACCACUUGGCCAAAUACCAACCCCAAAUUAACACUCCCACCCCCUUUUUCUUUAUCUGCAUCAGAGGAGCUGAAACUACUAGAGUAACUGAAUUGAUAGGGAAGAUCAGAAUCUCUCUCAGGAAUGCCUUUGUAGGGUACAAUACAUUGAAUGUUUAUGUCCCCCCCAAUUCACAUGUUGAAGCUUUAACCCCCAGUGUAAUGGUUUGGGGAGAGAGGGCUUUUGGGAGGUAUUUAGGUAAUGAGGGUGCAGCCCCCAUGGUGGGAUUAGUGUCUUUAUAAGAAAACAAGCCCAUAACAGAACCCUCGAAUUUCUCCUGAACCUUUGCACUUAUCAUCUCUGCUGCCACCACUCUAGUGCAAACUAUCCCAUAUCCACUCUGACCUUUUCAGUCUCAUCGCCACACUGCAGAUAAUGUUAUCUUUAAACAUGUAGAUCUACACACAUUACCUCCAUUUUUGAAAGCACCCUAGUGACUUUCUAUUGCUUCUAUGAUAAAACAAAAGUCCUUGUAGUUCCCUGGUGGCCUAAUGGGUUAAGGACCCAGUGUUGCCACUGCUGUGGUGCUGGUACAAUACCUGGCUCUGGAAUUUUCACAUGCUGCAGGUGCAGAAAAAAAAAAAAAGGGACACAUUCUCCCUAUGUCUACAGCCCGAUUUUACUCUAGUCACAUUUGUCAUGCAGUCAUACUUUUUCCACCUUUGCUGAAUUAACCACCUCACACACGCAGACCUUAAUAAAUGUUUGUUCCUCAGGGAACCUCCUACAUAUCCUUGGUCUUGGGAAGGUUUAUCUGCUAUAGAUACUUUCAAAACAGUGGGCCUUUCUUUCAGAGUCCUCAACCAGCUCUUAGUGACUUAGUUGUUAGCAUGAUUAUUUAAUUAUGUCCAUCUUCCCACUAAUCUCUAAGAUCCAUGAGAGCAAAUCAGUGUCCUUCUCAGAUUGGUUCUUUUCUCAUUAUUGCAUUCCCAGCAAUUAGAAGGUAGCCUACAUAUACUCAAUGCAUGGGUGAAUACAAAAGAUACUGUUGUGGUUGCCAAGAGGGAGGGGGAGGGAAUAGGAGGAACUGGGAGUUUGGGGUUAAUAGAUGCAAACUAUAGCCUUUGGAAUGGAUAAACAAUGGGAUCCUGCCGAAUAGCACUUGGAACUAUGUCUGGUCCACUUGUGAUGGAGCAUGAUAAUGUGAGAAAAAGAAUGUAUACAUGUAUGUGUGAUUGGGUCACCUUGCUGUGCAGCAGAUAAUUGACAGAAUACUGUAA
rnacentral:lncRNA from 1 species